CCUACGGGUGGCUGCAGUGAGGAAUAUUGGGCAAUGGGCGCAAGCCUGACCCAGCCAUGCCGCGUGCAGGAUGACGGCGCUAUGCGUUGUAAACUGCUUUUGUUCGGGAAGAAACCCAUCUACGUGUAGGUGGUUGACGGUACCGAAAGAAUAAGCAUCGGCUAACUCCGUGCCAGCAGCCGCGGUAAUACGGAGGAUGCGGGUGUUAUCCGGAUUCAUUGGGUUUAAAGCGUGAGAUGAAGUAAGCGUUGAAAUCCUGCAGCUUAACUGUAGAACUGUCAUUGAUACUGGUAUUCUUGAAUGCAGUUGAGGUAGGCGGAAUGUGUAAUGUAGCGGUGAAAUGCUUAGAUAUUACACAGAACACCGAUUGCGAAGGCAGCUUACUAAACUGUUAUUGACGCUGAGGCACGAAAGCGUGGGGAGCAAACAGGAUUAGAUACCCCUGUAGUC
rnacentral:rRNA from 1 species